rnacentral:lncRNA from 13 species
CUACAAGGGUAGAAUGUAGUGUAAACACAGGGCCACAGCCACACAGAAGUCUAUCCAGAAGUCAUCUGUUUCCUCUGGGAAUUAUAUCUCAAAUUAACAAGAUUUGUUCCUUUGGGAUCCAUAAGAGCAGAUCAGACAGUGGAGGGUAGUCUAGUGUGACACUACUGGGACUGACUUACUCACCAAAGGAAGCCUGGCAUCAGAGGCCAGAGAAACCAAUGGCAGCCUAAAUGCAUUGCAGAAUAAAGGAUGCCAGAGAGACGGAGCAGCCGACAUUCAGAAUAAAGGAUGCCAGAGAGAGGGAGCAGCAGACAUUCAGAAGAAAUGAUGCCAGAGAGACGGAGCAGCAGACAUUCAGAAGAAAUGAUGCCAGAGAGACGGAGCAGCAGACAUUCAGAAUAAAGGAUGCCAGAGAGACGGAGCAGCAGACAUUCAGAAUAAAGGAUGCCAGAGAGACGGAGCAGCAGACAUUCAGAAGAAAGGAUGCCAGAGAGAGGGAGCAGCAGACAUUCAGAAGAAAGGAUGACAGCCCAUAGAUUAGACCUCAUGAGGUAAGGGGUCAGAGGUCAACGUAAUACAACCCUCCCAUACCACACACUAUGACCUUUGACCUGACCUCUUUCUUCCCUCAUGAGGUCAUAUCAGCCCUGCCGGCUGCUUCCUGACUCUCAACCAACUGUCACAGAGAGGAAUGUUCUCUUCUCCAGGUAGAAGUGAGACGUAGCCUAGCAACAGAUCUAGAAUCAGUUUUGCUCCCCCCUUCACAGAUACAGCCUCUCCUAUACAUACGGGUGCCUUCACAGAUACAGCCUCUCCUAUACAUACGGGUGGGUGCCUUCACAGAUACAGCCUCUCCUAUACAGACGGGUGCCUUCACAGAUACAGCCUCUUCUAUACAGACGGGUGCCUUCACAGAUACAGCCUCUCCUAUACAGACUGGUGCCUUCACAGAUACAGCCUCUCCUAUACAGACGGGUGCCUUCACAGAUACAGCUUCUCCAAUACAGACUGAUAGCGCCAGACUGGGCUGACAUGAUGACAGCAGUCAGGGCAGGCAUAACUUACUGCCCUAUAGCCAUACUAUUUACAAGCAUAGUGUACUCAGAGUACACACAAACAUGAAAACAAUGCCUGAGGUGUGCUGUAUCACAGAAAUACUAUCGACAGGAAUCUAUCGCUGUGUUCUGAUUCUGGAUGUGCCUACUGUUGGUCUACAGGCGCCUCCAGUGCUGUAAAAGAAACAAGGAGGCACUUAUAAACAACCCACACGCCACUGUGCAUGUUAAACACACUAAUUAGCGUGUGAGCAGACCGGAGACAAACAGAGCGAAUGUAAAUAUUGAGUGAGCAGCGUUCCUCCAUUAUGACCAAAGGUGAUAAAGGAUAGAGCGCGUGAGACGCUCAUUCCGCGACUCGUUGCUUCUUCCGGUGUCUCUCACUCACUAAAUUAAUUUCACAGAUGAUCAAAACACCCUGAAAUUCAAGAUGUGGGAGUUUUCUUUUCAUCUUGAAACUAUAAAAUAUGACCGGUGCAUACAUAUGCUGUAAUCAGAGAAUGAAUUAUGUGAACAAAUAGGUUACUGGAUCAUGUUUUUUAGUAGACUGGUAACAAAACCAAUCAGUAGUAAACAUUGCCUAGGUUAGCCUACAUGUUAGCCUGCACUGCACUGAUCAUUUAUUAAGUGGCAUGAUUGUUGUCUGAUCUUCACUGUAGCCUCUGUUUGAUCAUAGUCUAUCGAAUGAAACAGUCCGCAAUAACAACAUUAUGCCUAUAAGAGCCAUUACCAAUUAGAUAGAACUGUAAAAUAUAUAUCACUAGCCUAUGCCUUUUAAUAAUCAAUGGGAAAAAUCAAUAUGCAUGCUGUGGUACCAUGUGCGCGCGGACGCGGUGCUCAUGAAUGAGAAAUAACCGGCUGUUGAACGGCUGAGCACCGAGUCUGCGACUGAAAGAACGGGUCCCGAAAUCCGCGUUAAUGAAGGACUGUUAACAGAGUAGACUUUAUAGGCAAAGCCAGGACACAGACUCUGAGAUUGCCAAUGACUGCUGGAUACAUGUUAUUGUGGUCUGUGUUAAUGUCCCCUCGAGAGACCUACCCCUAGAUCCGCUAAAUGGAUUAGGGGAAAAGUCCCUUACCGCAUAGUCCCAAUCCCGAGUAGCUUUGUCUUGAGGCCUCUCGGAGGAAGCCCAUCAAUCAUUGAGGUGUAAUAAGAACGGCAUCAAUCGAGUCUGUUAUAGCCUAGGCUACCAGUGUGUCGCUACAAUGUUUUUAAAUGGAUGCGUUUCAGCACCCGGCGCGUUGUCGGGGCGAAUAGACAGACGGUUAUCCUUCAGCACCUGGAGCGAACACAGUGAGGGCUGAGCCAAACUGCCGAGCCGAGAAUUGCUACCCUCCUCACUAAAGCACGACGCAAACAUUUUCAUAGCCUUUAAAUAAAAUGAUAUGUAGAACGUAGCCUAAACUACAAGUUGGCGACCAUAAAGGCAAAUAGUAAACUAGAAUGCGCGCCAUAGCGCCCAGCAACAUCCA